GGACAUUGGGUCUAGUGGUAUGAUUCUCGCUUUAGGUGCGAGAGGUCCCGAGUUCGAUUCUCAAAAUGUCCC
rnacentral:tRNA from 1 species